GGGGGAUUAGCUCAGCUGGGAGAGCGCUUGAAUGGCAUUCAAGAGGUCAGGGGUUCAACUCCCCUAUCCUCCA
rnacentral:tRNA from 1 species